CGAGGCUGUGCAUCGAAGGCGGAAGCAAUGGUGGCAUCCUGCGGCCUAAUCUUUUUGGUUGCGUUCUGGCUCAUGUGGGAGUGAUGGGCAUGGUUCGAUUCCACAAGCUCACCAUAGGUUUGGCUUCGCUUC